rnacentral:rRNA from 1 species
CAAGUCGAGCGAACGGACGAGAAGCUUGCUUCUCUGAUGUUAGCGGCGGACGGGUGAGUAACACGUGGAUAACCUACCUAUAAGACUGGGAUAACUUCGGGAAACCGGAGCUAAUACCGGAUAAUAUUUUGAACCGCAUGGUUCAAAAGUGAAAGACGGUCUUGCUGUCACUUAUAGAUGGAUCCGCGCUGCAUUAGCUAGUUGGUAAGGUAACGGCUUACCAAGGCAACGAUGCAUAGCCGACCUGAGAGGGUGAUCGGCCACACUGGAACUGAGACACGGUCCAGACUCCUACGGGAGGCAGCAGUAGGGAAUCUUCCGCAAUGGGCGAAAGCCUGACGGAGCAACGCCGCGUGAGUGAUGAAGGUCUUCGGAUCGUAAAACUCUGUUAUUAGGGAAGAACAUAUGUGUAAGUAACUGUGCACAUCUUGACGGUACCUAAUCAGAAAGCCACGGCUAACUACGUGCCAGCAGCCGCGGUAAUACGUAGGUGGCAAGCGUUAUCCGGAAUUAUUGGGCGUAAAGCGCGCGUAGGCGGUUUUUUAAGUCUGAUGUGAAAGCCCACGGCUCAACCGUGGAGGGUCAUUGGAAACUGGAAAACUUGAGUGCAGAAGAGGAAAGUGGAAUUCCAUGUGUAGCGGUGAAAUGCGCAGAGAUAUGGAGGAACACCAGUGGCGAAGGCGACUUUCUGGUCUGUAACUGACGCUGAUGUGCGAAAGCGUGGGGAUCAAACAGGAUUAGAUACCCUGGUAGUCCACGCCGUAAACGAUGAGUGCUAAGUGUUAGGGGGUUUCCGCCCCUUAGUGCUGCAGCUAACGCAUUAAGCACUCCGCCUGGGGAGUACGACCGCAAGGUUGAAACUCAAAGGAAUUGACGGGGACCCGCACAAGCGGUGGAGCAUGUGGUUUAAUUCGAAGCAACGCGAAGAACCUUACCAAAUCUUGACAUCCUUUGACAACUCUAGAGAUAGAGCCUUCCCCUUCGGGGGACAAAGUGACAGGUGGUGCAUGGUUGUCGUCAGCUCGUGUCGUGAGAUGUUGGGUUAAGUCCCGCAACGAGCGCAACCCUUAAGCUUAGUUGCCAUCAUUAAGUUGGGCACUCUAAGUUGACUGCCGGUGACAAACCGGAGGAAGGUGGGGAUGACGUCAAAUCAUCAUGCCCCUUAUGAUUUGGGCUACACACGUGCUACAAUGGACAAUACAAAGGGCAGCGAAACCGCGAGGUCAAGCAAAUCCCAUAAAGUUGUUCUCAGUUCGGAUUGUAGUCUGCAACUCGACUACAUGAAGCUGGAAUCGCUAGUAAUCGUAGAUCAGCAUGCUACGGUGAAUACGUUCCCGGGUCUUGUACACACCGCCCGUCACACCACGAGAGUUUGUAACACCCGAAGCCGGUGGAGUAACCUUUUAGGAGCUAGCCGUCGAAGGUGGGACAAAUGAUUGGGGUGAAGUCGUAACAAGGUAGCCGUAUCGGAAGGUGCGGCUGGAUCACCU